rnacentral:rRNA from 1 species
AUGCAAUCAUUUGUGGUUAAAACAGAAGCAAAUAUGUCAAGAAAACAACAUUGUGUUCAACAUGGUCAACAUGGAUAUUUACCAACUUUCUACUCACUUCCAUACAGUAAUAAUCAAAUAUGUUAUUGUAUUACAGUUUCCUUAUAUAUAAAGAACUCUUCAAGAGGGCAGACCUGGCGCAAUGGUGAAGUCCUCCCCACUUGUGCCAAGAGGUCCUGGGUUCGAACCAGCCUCUCUACAUUGCACUUUGCAGUGAUAAGACUAGGUUCCCAUAAUCCCUCCCCAGACCCCACCUUGUGUGGGAGCUUCUAUGCACUGGGUCCGUCCUUUUUUUAG